AACUAAGUGCGUGGAGCCGGGCGGGGUAAUACGUAGGUGGCGUGCUGUGAUCGGAAGUACUGGGCGUAAGGCGGACGGAGGCGGUUGGGUAGGACAUGCUGGAAAUCCCCGCGCUUAACCUGGGAACUGCGCUUGUGACUGCCUCACUAGAGUACGGCAGAGGGGGGUGGAAUUCCACGUGUAGCAGUGAAAUGCGUAGAGAUGUGGAGGAACACCGAUGGCGAAGGCAGCCCCCUGGGCCGAUACUGACGCUCAUGCACGAAAGCGUGGGUAGCAAACAGGAUUAGAUACCCCAGUAGUC
rnacentral:rRNA from 1 species